GAUGAACGCUGGCGGCGUGCCUAAUACAUGCAAGUCGAGCGAACAGACGAGGAGCUUGCUCCUCUGACGUUAGCGGCGGACGGGUGAGUAACACGUGGAUAACCUACCUAUAAGACUGGGAUAACUUCGGGAAACCGGAGCUAAUACCGGAUAAUAUAUUGAACCGCAUGGUUCAAUAGUGAAAGACGGUUUUGCUGUUACUUAUAGAUGGAUCCGCGCCGCAUUAGCUAGUUGGUAAGGUAACGGCUUACCAAGGCAACGAUGCGUAGCCGACCUGAGAGAGUGAUCGGCCACACUGGAACUGAGACACGGACCAGACUCCUAAGGGAGGCAGCAGUAGGGAAUCUUCCGCAAUGGGCGAAAGCCUGACGGAGCAACGCCGCGUGCGUGAUGAAGGUCUUCGGAUCGUAAAACUCUGUUAUUAGGGAAGAACAAAUGUGUAAGUAACUAUGCACGUCUUGACGGUACCUAGUCAGAAAGCCACGGCUAACUACGUG
rnacentral:rRNA from 1 species